AGGUUUGCGAGAGGCAUUGUCGCAUCUGUUGAAGGUUUGCUGAGGAGCGGCUGUUGCCAGUUGAAAACUGUUCCCAAGACCGCGCCUGGACGACGUGAAAUACCGUCGGCCGUGGCAAUUUUUGGCAGGCCCUACGGGGC
rnacentral:snRNA from 1 species